rnacentral:rRNA from 1 species
UGCGGAAGGAUCAUUACCACACCAAAAAACACCCCACGUGAACGUACUCUGUAUUAGGCUUUCAUGCUCCUCGGAGCGGCUCGCCGAAGGCUUCGUAAGAAGCCGAUGUAUCUUUAAUCCCUUUUAUGAAAUGACUGAUCAAAAACUGCAGGCAGAAAUGUGUGCAUUCAAUUGAAAUACAACUAUAUCCAGUGGAUGUCUAGGCUCGCACAUCGAUGAAGAACGCUGCGAACUGCGAUACGUAAUGCGAAUUGCAGAAUUCAGUGAGUCAUCAAAAUUUUGAACGCAUAUUGCACUUCCGGGUUAGUCCUGGGAGUAUGUUUGUAUCAGUGUCCGUUAAUACAAAAUUGCUUCAUUCAUUUGGAGCAGACUGUGAAGGUCUUGCUUCGGCAAGUCCUUUCAAAUGAGUAUUACCUGUACGUCCUCGUGGGAUAUGCAACACAAAGGUAUAUAUGAUUUUGAUCUCGAAUGUCUUGUGUGAUGGUACACAGCUUCGAAGGAAAAACAAAUUGCGGUAGUUUUGCUUGUGUUUCGGCACAGGUGAACAUCAUAUUGCUUUUUGGGUUUCUGGAGGAGUUGGUACUGGAAGGCAGGAUGCGUUGUCAAAUAGUAUGUACUGGUGUAUCCCUUGAUGUAUGGAGGCAAAUUGGGAACUAUAUCCAAUUUGGACCUGAUAUCAAACAAGACUACCCGCUGAACUUAAGCAUAUCAAUA